CUAAAUGGCCGCGGUAACUCUGACCGUGAUAAUGUAGCGAAAUCAAUUGUCGUUUAAUUGACGACCAGUAUGAAUGGUUAAACGAAUUUUCCACUGUCUCUAUAAUAAACUUAAUGAAUUUAAAAUAAUAGUGAAGAUGCUAUUUAAUAAUUGUAAGACGAGAAGACCCUAUAGAGCUUAACUAUAAUCUUUAAUUCUAAAAUAAUCAAUGAUUUAUUAAAUUUAAAGAUUGGUAGUUUGGUUGGGGCGACCAUCUUCUAAAAGCAACGAAGACAAGCAAUGUUAUAUAAUAUCAAUAUUUAACUGUAUAAUUUAUAUUUUUAACAGGUAUUAAAAUAGGCUAAUUGACCCGUUUAUUUUUAGUAAGAAAAAUAACGAUUAAUAAAUAAAAGCUACCUUAGGGAUAACAGCGUAAUCUUAUUUAAGAGUUCUUAUCGACAAUAAGGUUUGCGACCUCGAUGUUGAAUUGCGAUAACCUGAGGGUGCAGCAGCUCUCAAAGGUUGUCUGUUC
rnacentral:rRNA from 1 species